CCUACGGGAGGCAGCAGUGAGGAAUAUUGGUCAAUGGACGAGAGUCUGAACCAGCCAAGUAGCGUGAAGGAUGACUGCCCUAUGGGUUGUAAACUUCUUUUAUAGGGGAAUAAAAUGUUCCACGUGUGGGAUUUUGUAUGUACCAUAUGAAUAAGGAUCGGCUAACUCCGUGCCAGCAGCCGCGGUAAUACGGAGGAUCCGAGCGUUAUCCGGAUUUAUUGGGUUUAAAGGGAGCGUAGGUGGAUUGUUAAGUCAGUUGUGAAAGUUUGUGGCUCAACCAUAAAAUUGCCGUUGAAACUGGAAGACUUGAUUGUGUUUGAGGUAGGCGGAAUGCGUGGUGUAGCGGU
rnacentral:rRNA from 1 species